rnacentral:lncRNA from 1 species
GGCGGAAGUGCGUGGAGGAGGAGGCUUCCUCACUUCAAGGUAGCCGGGAAGCAGAGGAAGAGGAAGAGGAGAGGCUGGGGUCCCAGUGUUCUCUUCGGGGACACGGCCCCAUGACCCAACUCCCUUCUAAAGGUUUCCCUACCUCUCAUUAAUGCCACAGGCUGGGGAUGGAGACCCACAGCCCUUCAGAGGACCCUCAAGACCCAAACACUAGUGCCUGUAUGGGGUUCCCUUUAGAGAUGCCCAGGGCUACGCGGGGCCUUGGAACUGCCCUCAGUGGUUUGGAAACAGGUGAGCCUGCACUGGUCCACGCCAACACGACUAAUGGCGAAGGUUACCAGGGUUUGGGUCAACUGUCUGUGGCUGUGAAGAGAAGAAUCACUGUCUUCACCAGGAAACUGGUGAGGGUUUAUUCUUAAUGUGUGUUGCUAAGGACAUGUGUGCAAUAAUUAAUAACGGUGC